UGAGUUGGCCAGACUGUCGCGGCGCAGGAAUGCGCGGAGGAAAGUCCGGGCUCCGUAGGGCAGGGUGCCAGGUAACGCCUGGGCGGCGUGAGCCGACGGAAAGUGCAACAGAAAACAUACCGCCGAACGGUGUCGCAAGACAUGCGUGGUAAGGGCGAACCGGUGCGGUAAGAGCGCACCGCAUCCGUGGCAACACGCGAUGGCAUGGAAAACCCCACCCGGAGCAAGGCCAAAUAGGGAAACGAUCACGCGGCCCGCGUGGUUUCCGGGUAGGCUGCUUGAGGUCAUCGGUGACGAUGAUCCCAGAUGAAUGACAGUUCUCGACAGAACCCGGCUUAUCGGCCAACUCUCCCA
rnacentral:RNase_P_RNA from 2 species